rnacentral:rRNA from 1 species
UACGUAGGGUGCGAGCGUUGUCCGGAAUUAUUGGGCGUAAAGGGCUCGUAGGCGGUCUGUUGCGUCGGCUGUGAAAACCCGGGGCUCAACUCCGGGCCUGCAGCCGAUACGGGCAGACUAGAGUUCGGCAGGGGAGACUGGAAUUCCUGGUGUAGCGGUGAAAUGCGCAGAUAUCAGGAGGAACACCGAUUGCGAAGGCAGCUCGCUGGGACGUAACUGACGCUGAGACGCGAAAGCGUGGGGAGCAAACAGG